rnacentral:lncRNA from 1 species
UCACCAUUGGAGUCCCAGUAUCUGGCAUAGGGUAAAAACUCAAUAAAUACCUGUUAAGUGAAUAGUUAUGAUUUUUUCUCUGCUUCACCUACCCACCUAACUCUAACCCUUAAUGCCUGCUCCUUCCAUCCAAGGGAACCUGCUAGAGCCGCUGGAAAGUGUUAUGAGUAGGUGAAGUUGGAUAUGGCCACAGAACUGGUCAAGACUACUGCCGAAAGCAAGAGUCCAGGUGGAAAAUGGAGGCAAGAAUAGCUGCACGUCUGAGAAAGUCACAGCUAGGAAGGAGAUGAAACUGAGGUGCUGGGGAGAAUGGAAGAAGGAGGAGUAGAAGGACCGAAAAUACUUUAAAGAAUCUAGAAAGACAUCUCUUCUACCUGAGAUGGGAGUUAUGUUUGAUUUCAUUUUUUCAUGUCUCUAAAUUAUGUUUCCUCUUCAAAUCAUGUAGAAUUGCACAUCAUAGAAUAAACUGUACAAAGUGACCAAUGAGAUAGUGACAUGAUAUAGGAGUACAUUAUUACCAUGCAAUUCACAUCUGGAAUCAUCUCGGUGCAAUUUGCAUGAUCUAUGUCACCUAGCCAUGGGUCAUAAAUUCAUUCUUUUGUAACACUUUAAAAAUAGAUAUUCUCAAUAUUUAAUAUAACCAUUUUGAAUGGAUAUGUUGGAAUAUCAAUUCUGAUACUAAUACAAGAAACUUGCAAAUAUGUCCUUUAUUUGAAGGUAUGGGAUAUUUCGUUAAGACUCCUGGAUAGAAUGGGACAUUUUCUCUUUAUUUUUCUAUUUUAUAUCUAGGUAAACUCUUGCUCCAGCAAUGUUUAAGGUACUGUAAAAAUCUAUAACUAGUCCUCAAUUCUCUAGACUACUGACCCUUGACUAUUCAUUAAAUCAAGACUUCAUUC